ACCCCGACCGGGACUCGAACCUGGUGUAGUGGUAGCGCCUUGAAUUAGUAAUCAUAAGUCCUAGGUUCAAGUCCCGGUCGGGGUA